rnacentral:rRNA from 1 species
GACGAACGCUGGCGGCGUGCUUAACACAUGCAAGUCGUACGGUAAGGCCCUUUCGGGGGUACACGAGUGGCGAACGGGUGAGUAACACGUGAGUAACCUGCCCACAACUUUGGGAUAACGCUAGGAAACUGGUGCUAAUACUGGAUAUGUGCUCCUGCUGCAUGGUGGGGGUUGGAAAGCUCCGGCGGUUGUGGAUGGACUCGCGGCCUAUCAGCUUGUUGGUGGGGUAGUGGCCUACCAAGGCGGCGACGGGUAGCCGGCCUGAGAGGGUGACCGGCCACACUGGGACUUGGAUACGGCCCAGACUCCUACGGGAGGCAGCAGUGGGGAAUAUUGCACAAUGGGCGCGAGCCUGAUGCAGCAACGCCGCGUGCGGGAUGACGGCCUUCGGGUUGUAAACCGCUUUCAGCAGGGACGAAGCUUUUUGUGACGGUACCUGCAGAAGAAGCACCGGCUAACUACGUG